rnacentral:lncRNA from 1 species
CUCUUCCCUCAUCGCAAUCUCCUCCCUUUGCCAUCGUCCCAUCUCCUCAACACGCCCCACCUCCUCAACUCAUUCCCCAUCGCCACUCUUCCCUUUUGCUUUGUCCCAUCUUGUCAUAGAUCGGCCAUCGCCGCAAAUCGGCCACCACCCAACACCGCUCCUCCCACCUCUUGCCUUCCCAAUCUCCCAUCACCAUUCG